rnacentral:misc_RNA from 1 species
UUUACUUUUAUGCAGGAGCCGAUUUCAUAGCCAACGAACCUUGUGAACUAAAAGAAGUUAUGUGGUGAGUAAUUACAUUGACACUGGCCAAUUACAUUGACAAUGUUGUCUUUCCCUUGACAGCGUGAUAUCCCAACACAUUGCAUGUAUGCAUCCACUCAUGUACACAUGCAUACAUACAUACAUACAUACAUACAUACAUACAUACAUACAUACAUACAUACAUACAUACAUACAUACAUACAUACAUACAUUCAUUCAUUCAUUCAUUCAUUCAUUCAUUCAUUCAUUCAUGUAUAUUUUGCUUCUUUAUUUACAUCAUUAACUUGUUUUACUUGCUCUCUGCUUUGUUUCGUACGCUUUGCUUGCUUAACUUGGUUGCUUUGUUCCUUUGAUCUUUGCCUACUCAAUCCCUUCAUUCAUUUCUUAACUUGCUUGCUGCUUUGCUACUCUGAUAUUUUUGGUUUCCUUUCUCAUUUCACUGUUUACAUGCUUAACUAACUUGUUUACUUCUUCCUUCUUUGUGUCUUUUAUUUCUCUGCUUCUCUCAUUGGUUCCUUCCUUCAUUUUUGCGUUGGUACUCAACGUUUUAAUUUAUUUACUAACCAUAAUUAUUAUUUAAAUGAUGUUAUAGUUUUAAACUAUUUAAAACCAUCAGCUUUCAUUUUUAAAAGUAAAUACUACUAUUUAUUGUCGAUGUAUUACGAAUGUAUCAACUCUUGUAUUCGAUUU